rnacentral:tRNA from 1 species
GGAGAGGUGGCUGAGUGGUUUAAAGCACCGGUCUUGAAAACCGACGAGGGCGAAAGCCCUCCGUGGGUUCGAAUCCCACCCUCUCCACCA